UACGUAGGGUGCAAGCGUUGUCCGGAAUUAUUGGGCGUAAAGGGCUCGUAGGCGGUCCAUCACGUCGGGAGUGAAAAGCUGGGGCUUAACCCCAGUCCUGCUUCCGAUACGGGUGGACUAGAGGUAGGCAGGGGAGAACGGAAUUCCUGGUGUAGCGGUGAAAUGCGCAGAUAUCAGGAGGAACACCGGUGGCGAGGGCGGUUCUCUGGGCCUUACCUGACGCUGAGGAGCGAAAGCAUGGGGAGCGAACAGG
rnacentral:rRNA from 1 species